rnacentral:rRNA from 1 species
AACGAACGCUGGCGGCAGGCUUAACACAUGCAAGUCGAGCGAGACCUUCGGGUCUAGCGGCGGACGGGUGAGUAACGCGUGGGAACGUGCCUUUCUCUACGGAAUAGCCCCGGGAAACUGGGAGUAAUACCGGAUACGCCCUUUGGGGGAAAGAUUUAUCGGAGAAGGAUCGGCACGCGUUGGAUUAGGUAGUUGGUGGGGUAAUGGCCCACCAAGCCGACGAUCCAUAGCUGGUUUGAGAGGAUGAUCAGCCACACUGGGACUGAGACACGGCCCAGACUCCUACGGGAGGCAGCAGUGGGGAAUCUUAGACAAUGGGGGCAACCAUGAUCUAGCCAUGCCGCGUGAGUGAUGAAGGCCUUAGGGUUGUAAAGCUCUUUCAGCUGGGAAGAUAAUGACGGUACCAGCAGAAGAAGCCCCGGCUAACUCCGUG